UAUAUAUAUAUAUAUAUAUAUAUAUAUAUAUAGUAGAGCUACUAUGCUAUCAAAAGUAUAGAGGAUCUAGUGCUUUCGAUUUUUUGAUUUUUAAAUCAACCCCUUUAAUCAUUUUUUAUCUUUGGAUUAAUACUAUUAUUAUCUUGUAGGGACCACUCAAUCCUAGGAAUAUUACUUAAUCCUAGGGGGGACCGCAAUCAUCCCAACCAUACAAUUCUUAAUCAAAGGGUCAAAAAUUCGAAAAUAUCAAAUCCUCUAUAUUUUCGAUAGCAUAGAUAGUUAUACACACUAUAUAUAUAUAUAUAUAUAUAUAUAUUAAAAAAUAUAUAAAUAUAUUAUAUUUUAAUUAUAUAUAGGCUGAGUGAAUAAUUUAAGUUUAGUUAAAAUUAGGCCAAUGUUGUUGGCCCAUAAAAACAAACCCAAUAGACAAAUAAAAGAGCAAAAUUUCACUAAAUUUAUACAUUUUUCCUUUCUUUCUUUUUUUCAUAGAGCUCUAAAUUUUCAAUAUAUUUCUCUCUCUCUUUUUCUGUCUCUCACUCUAAGUGGCCAAGCCGGAAGCCCUCAAAGUUACUAAGUAACAAUAUAUACCCGUCGUUGCCUACCUUGCUAUUAAUUGUAUGCUUGAGAAAAUAUACAGAAUAUUUUUAAAGUACAAAAUUAUUAUUCAUAUAAAAUUUUAAUUUUAGUUAUAUAUGAUUGAAUAGUUUAAUCCAAUAUUUAUCUAUAUAAUUUAUUUAUUUUUGAUUGCAUAAAUGAA
rnacentral:lncRNA from 1 species